GGGCAAUGCGGCGUGCUUACCAUGCAGUCGACGAUGAACCACUUCGGUGGGGAUUAGUGGCGAACGGGUGAGUAAGAGUGGGCAAUCUGCCCUGCACUCUGGGACAAGCCCUGGAAACGGGGUCUAAUACCGGAUACGACACACUCAGGCAUCUGAUGUGUGUGGAAAGCUCCGGCGGUGCAGGAUGAGCCCGCGGCCUAUCAGCUUGUUGGUGAGGUAACGGCUCACCAAGGCGACGACGGGUAGCCGGCCUGAGAGGGCGACCGGCCACACUGGGACUGAGACACGGCCCAGACUCCUACGGGAGGCAGCAGUGGGGAAUAUUGCACAAUGGGCGCAAGCCUGAUGCAGCGACGCCGCGUGAGGGAUGACGGCCUUCGGGUUGUAAACCUCUUUCAGCAGGGAAGAAGCGAAAGUGACGGUACCUGCAGAAGAAGCGCCGGCUAACUACGUGCCAGCAGCCGCGGUAAUACGUAGGGCGCAAGCGUUGUCCGGAAUUAUUGGGCGUAAAGAGCUCGUAGGCGGCUUGUCACGUCGGAUGUGAAAGCCCGGGGCUUAACCCCGGGUCUGCAUUCGAUACGGGCAGGCUAGAGUUCGGUAGGGGAGAUCGGAAUUCCUGGUGUAGCGGUGAAAUGCGCAGAUAUCAGGAGGAACACCGGUGGCGAAGGCGGAUCUCUGGGCCGAUACUGACGCUGAGGAGCGAAAGCGUGGGGAGCGAACAGGAUUAGAUACCCUGGUAGUCCACGCCGUAAACGGUGGGCACUAGGUGUGGGCGACAUUCCACGUCGUCCGUGCCGCAGCUAACGCAUUAAGUGCCCCGCCUGGGGAGUACGGCCGCAAGGCUAAAACUCAAAGGAAUUGACGGGGCCCGCACAAGCGGCGGAGCAUGUGGCUUAAUUCGACGCAACGCGAGAACCUUACCAAGGCUUGACAUACACCC
rnacentral:rRNA from 1 species